GAAACUACUGCUAAGACUGGAUAGGAGACAAGAAGGCAUCUUCUUGUUUUUAAAAGACCUAGCAAUAGGUAUGCUUAGGGAGGAGCUUGCGUCACAUUAGUUAGUUGGUGGGGUAAAGGCCUACCAAGACUAUGAUGUGUAGCCGGGCUGAGAGGUUGAACGGCCACAUUGGGACUGAGACACGGCCCAAACUCCUACGGGAGGCAGCAGUAGGGAAUUUUCGGCAAUGGAGGAAACUCUGACCGAGCAACGCCGCGUGAACGAUGAAGUAUUUCGGUACGUAAAGUUCUUUUAUUAGGGAAGAAUAAAUGAUGGAAAAAUCAUUCUGACGGUACCUAAUGAAUAAGCCCCGGCUAACUAUGUGCCAGCAGCCGCGGUAAUACAUAGGGGGCAAGCGUUAUCCGGAAUUAUUGGGCGUAAAGGGUGCGUAGGCGGUUAAAUAAGUUUAUGGUCUAAGUGCAAUGCUCAACAUUGUGAUGCUAUAAAAACUGUUUAGCUAGAGUAAGAUAGAGGCAAGUGGAAUUCCAUGUGUAGUGGUAAAAUGCGUAAAUAUAUGGAGGAACACCAGUAGCGAAGGCGGCUUGCUGGGUCUUUACUGACGCUGAGGCACGAAAGCGUGGGGAGCAAACAGGAUUAGAUACCCUGGUAGUCCACGCCGUAAACGAUGAGUACUAAACGUUGGGUAAAACCAGUGUUGAAGUUAACACAUUAAGUACUCCGCCUGAGUAGUACGUACGCAAGUAUGAAACUUAAAGGAAUUGACGGGACUCCGCACAAGCGGUGGAUCAUGUUGUUUAAUUCGAAGGUACCCGAAAAACCUCACCAGGUCUUGACAUGCUUCUGCAAAGCUGUAGAAACACAGUGGAGGUUAUCAGUUGCACAGGUGGUGCAUGGUUGUCGUCAGCUCGUGUCGUGAGAUGUUGGGUUAAGUCCCGCAACGAGCGCAACCCUUAUUGUUAGUUACCAGCACGUAAUGGUGGGGACUUUAGCAAGACUGCCAGUGAUAAAUUGGAGGAAGGUGGGGACGACGUCAAAUCAUCAUGCCCCUUAUGACCUGGGCUACAAACGUGAUACAAUGGCUGUUACAAAGGGUAGCUGAAGCGCAAGUUUUUGGCGAAUCUCAAAAAAACAGUCUCAGUUCGGAUUGAAGUCUGCAACUCGACUUCAUGAAGUUGGAAUCGCUAGUAAUCGCGAAUCAGCAUGUCGCGGUGAAUACGUUCUCGGGGUUUGUACACACCGCCCGUCA
rnacentral:rRNA from 1 species